GACGAACGCUGGCGGCGUGCCUAAUACAUGCAAGUCGAACGAGAGCGACCGGUGCUUGCACUGGUCAAUCUAGUGGCGAAAGGGUGAGUAACACGUGGGUAACCUGCUCAUCAGAGGGGGAUAACAUCCGGAAACGGAUGCUAAAACCGCAUAGGUCUUCGAGCCGCAUGGCUUGAAGAGGAAAAAAGGCGCAAGCUUCUGCUGGUGGAUGGACCCGCGGUGCAUUAGCUAGUUGGUGAGGUAACGGCUCACCAAGGCCGUGAUGCAUAGCCGACCUGAGAGGGUGAUCGGCCACAUUGGGACUGAGACACGGCCCAAACUCCUACGGGAGGCAGCAGUAGGGAAUCUUCCGCAAUGGACGCAAGUCUGACGGAGCAACGCCGCGUGAGUGAAGAAGGUUUUCGGAUCGUAAAACUCUGUUGUUAGAGAAGAACAAGUGCUAGAGUAACUGUUAGCGCCUUGACGGUAUCUAACCAGAAAGCCACGGCUAACUACGUG
rnacentral:rRNA from 1 species